rnacentral:rRNA from 1 species
AAAUAUGAAGGCGGGCUGGAAUCUCUCGGGGUUACAGCCUUGCUGAAUUAUUCACCCUUGUCUUUUGCGUACUUCUUGUUUCCUUGGUGGGUUCGCCCACCACUAGGACAAACAUAAACCUUUUGUAAUUUGCAAUCAGCGUCAGUAACAAAUUAAUAAUUACAACUUUCAACAACGGAUCUCUUGGUUCUGGCAUCGAUGAAGAACGCAGCGAAAUGCGAUAAGUAGUGUGAAUUGCAGAAUUCAGUGAAUCAUCGAAUCUUUGAACGCACAUUGCGCCCUUUGGUAUUCCAAAGGGCAUGCCUGUUCGAGCGUCAUUUGUACCCUCAAGCUUUGCUUGGUGUUGGGCGUCUUGUCUCUAGCUUUGCUGGAGACUCGCCUUAAAGUAAUUGGCAGCCGGCCUACUGGUUUCGGAGCGCAGCACAAGUCGCACUCUCUAUCAGCAAAGGUCUAGCAUCCAUUAAGCCUUUUUUCAACUUUUGACCUCGGAUCAGGUAGGGAU